GCAAAUUACUCACUGGUGUUUCAGUGUGCCAUUGCUGUUGCUUUUCACUUGGGAUUAUUAAAAAGCUCCUAUAGCUGAUCUACAAGGGCAAAAUCGAGACAUUCUGGAUACAAGGGCUAUUUUUUCAGUCCAGUUGAGGAGGAUGAUUUGUAGCAACUGUGCAUAUGGCACUAAUUAAUGGGAUUUGAGUAGACUUUGGCAUAGCUUCCUGCCUAAAGAAAAAGAAAAGAGGUAACAACAGAUUUGCUGUGUGCCUUUCACUGCUUCUUAUGAAAUGUUAUAUGUACUCCUGAAGUUUUUAUUUUCAAUCAUAGUCACAUAGUCAUUUCUACAGUAAUUUUAUCAGAUGGAUAGGACGUUCAAGCAACUUUUGAAAAUUCCUUGUGCUCUGCAUUAUGAAGUCUGUUAGCCAUACUUGGCACAGACUACAAAUCUGACCCUGAUUUUCAGGCUUUCAAAGGGCCAAAAUAAAAUUAUUGUUCUCUAAUACAUUUUUUCUUCACAUUUAUUCGAGUGUGCAUUAGCUGUACAUCCAACAAAAUUGCAUUUUACUCCUUCGUUUUAGGCUUAAGUAGCAGUCGCAGGAGAUUAAAUGCAGUUAAGCAUAACGAAGCGUGAGGAUGACAAGAAAAAUGAAGCAGAGGUGCCUUAUCUCCCAAUUCAUCGCAGUACAAAUUUUAUAUUCCAGACACAAAUGCCACUUUGGGAUUGAAAUCGUACUACGUGAACCCGUGUGAGUGAAGCAGCUGAGGCAUAGGGAGAUAGCCUUGCCAGGUACCUGUCCAGGUGACCUGCAGAUGAAAGAACAAAAUGCAGAUUUCUGUGAUGUAAUCCAGUGCUCAAGCACAUCUUUUUGCAUAAAUGAUGGUAGGUCGAACUGUUGCAAGCAUUGUGGAAAUGAUGCAGCCCAAAUUGCUGAGGAGCUUACACUAGUGAAAUAGACAGGUAACCUGAGAGACAAUAAUAUAGCUCCUGAGAAGAAUAUUGUCCCCAGGAAGUUAGAUGGAGGUCCGAUCAGUUGGCCAAAGAUCUGCAUUAAAAAUAGUGUGUUUUUACUAAAACAGGCACUCUGCAUUUUUGUAUAUGUUUGUCAUUAAGUUAGAUGGUACUCUAUUCGAGGAAGGACACUUUCUAUGUAGGCCUUCAAAGCCAUUCCCAUCUCAGUGCUAGGAAAUGUGCAGCUGAAUUGUAAAUUUGCAUAGAGGUGAAGGAUGAGGAUGCUAAAAAAUUGUUCCUCCUCUCCCAUCAUCUUAAAUGAUGAGCAAAAUGUGAGGCUUCUUAUGAACUCACCAAGCCCACUGUAUCUACUGUACCCACGGCCAACAGCAUUCAUGGGAUUUGUGUGACUCACCAUUGAGCGCUAUCCUUCGUGAAGGCACUACACUGAAUAGCUAAAUACAGACACUAAUUUUAUUUGAUUAAAUGUACAUAUUCCACUUCCUCUAUAUGCUCUUAUGAAGUCAUUACCCAUUAUGAUAGCUUUUUAAAGCAUAAAAUGGCGUUGUUCUUUCCCUUCCUAGAAAGGGAUGGAGGCACGCUGUUACAAAGCCUCCCAUUUCUAAGGCUUGUGUAAGAUGUACCACAGAACAUUUGGUGUUGCAUAUUGUUCAUAUUGAAAACUCUGACGAGUGAGCAAGCUCUUUACACACUGCAUUUUUCCUCUUUUUUCUUCUUAUUGCCAGUUUGCAGUGGCAACAUGCUGAUGGUGUGAAUUAGUCAUUAGUUUAUGACGCCGAGGAAAAGGACCACGUGAAAAUUGUAAGUUAGAAUUCUAUUAGCAGGACUGAGUCUCUUCAUUCUCAGUGCAGAAGUGCAGUACAACAGAAGAACAAAUACAUUCUGCAGGUGGAGAGAAGAGCCGUGGGUUCAUGAAGCCCCAGUUGGUAGUAAAGCAGUUCACAGCACAGACCUUUCUGUGGAGAAGCUCAUGCAGCCGGCCGGCCAGCAAGCAGUUCUCACACUGCAGCAUCACGCUUAGCUGUGUCAAGCAACAUAUAAAUCAUGAAGACAAAGUGCUGUUGAGCAACAAGGCAGCUUUUCCCGGCCAGGUCAGUAAGAAGAAACCACAGUUAUCAAAUCAGUGUCUUGGCAUUGAAACUGCACAGCACCUCAGUGGAGCAGGUUAGUGGGAUCGGGUCCCUUCCUCCAGAGGAAGGUUUGUGCUGCUGUUUGGCCUCACCCACCUUCAGGCAGCUGAGUUUCUGUUGACUUGAAAGGAAAGCAAAAAGUGUGAAGUGCUGCUAAAAGGCCUCGUAUUGUCUGACAUCCUGUGACAAGAAAAAAAUAAACAACUUUGACCACAAGCCGUAAUGACUCUUACCUCUGUGUAAGCUGUCAGUGGCAUCAGUACUGCUGCAUCCUGCUUUUGGUUUUGCCUUGCUCGCUUGUGUUAUUCCGUGCAUUGCACAAAAAGCUUCCAGGACAUCUCCUGUAAGCCGGACUCUGGGAGCAGUUACAGCUGCCAGCCCAGCAAUAAAAAUACUGGGCCUAAAAGUCAUCCUGGUUUUGUUGUCUGUCACUGCAGUUUCCACGUGCAGAAGCAGCUACAUGGGAACUGCUACCUCCAACCAGGAGCAGCUGUCGGGAGGAACACCUAUCCAUGUGGCUCUGUGACAGUGUUGCAAGAUACCACAUUUGAUCUCUGGGUAAAAUAGAAAAGGCAGAAUGGUAUUUUUUUUUUUUUUUUUUUUACAUCCCAACUAAAGAGAGAGAAGUGCAAGCAGUGCCAUGUAUGAACACUUACAUUUUCAGCACAAAUACCAGCCCUUCUGGGCACGCUGCUCUGAAAAGUCUGGUGCUUUAGCAGAUAGCAGCUCACAGAUAGAUCCGUGUGCUUUCAGAAAUGCAAAUGCUUUUGAGAAGUGCCUUUCAGCUCAGCCUGGUAGAGCAGAGCGCCCUAAGCAACUCCCAGUGGGCUCCUGUUUCUCCCCUCUGGGCUUCACACACACCUAAAGCCACCUUCCUUCCAGGUGAGUGGAAAUGCCUGCACCUCUCCUUGGGCAGGGACAGAGGAAAGCAAAACUGUAUCCGAAGGACGUUGCAUUAUUUCAGAGAGGGAAAAAAACAUGCACUUAAUUAUGGGGCAGCACAUUCCGUGAGAUUCCUAUCUACUGCAAUCAGACGAUUUCUGUGCUGUCCUUCUGGAGCAAACAUUUCUGACUGAAGUUGUGAUGAAGAGGACGUGGUAGCUAAAUGGGCAAACCAUUAAUUAUCCUUCAGUUUUCCAUCUAUGCUUUUGAGUCCCCUGCAUCAGGUGGAAAUGACGUCUCCUUGUCCUCCAUGUACAGGGGGCAAAGGUGGCAGUGAUGCGUUUUCACCUCUAACUCAAGGCAGUGGGACAUUUCCCCGCCUUCUAACAACUCCCUGUUACCAGGUCUCCUCUCCCCUGCUCAACAGCUUUUUUAUUCAAGACAGCAGGGAAUUAAGCUCAUCAAACACACUGCCUCCAGCGUGCAGUCUGACACACUGGACUAAUAAUAGUUUUCCUGUCGCCACAAAAUAUCACAUUUAUGUGUGGCAUCCAUGGAGCCAACCAAAGCGAGCUACAUGGCCACACGUCUGCACAUACCUAUUCACAGUGGUGGGCACCAGGAAAGGACAGACAGCAGAGCUGCCUUCCACAUACAGCACACUCAGUGCACCUUGGACAGGUUUCCUUCCCUGUAAGCUCUGUAAUUGCCGUCAUUAAUGCUAAGUAGAAUGACAGCAAAACUGUAAUCCCAUAAACGUAAUGCAGUAGCAUAUAAAAAGUUAAAAUUUGUCAAUUUUAUUAAGUAGCUAACCAGCAUUUCCCUUCUGUCAUGUAUUAGGAGAGCCGCUAAGAUGAUCAGAGGGCUGGAGCCCCUCUCCUAUGAAGAAUGGCUGAGGGAAUGGGGCUUGUUUAGCUUGGAGAAGAGAAGGCUCCGAGGAGACCUCAUUGCAACCUUCCAGUACUUGAAGGGAGUGUAUAAACAAGAGGGGGUAACAACUGCUUAUGACGGUGGAUAGUGAUAAGACAAGGGGCAAUGGUCUUACACCUGAGUGCCACGCUUCAGCCUUUGGACGUGCAUCGCUGUACCAUUGCGCUGAGCGACCACUGGGUGGCAAUGUCAACCUCCUGGAAAACACGGCCCUGUAUUUGCCGGUUUCAGCCCCCUUUCCCUCUCCUCCCCUUCUGUUCUUUUUGUUAUUUUCUUCUCUGGACGGAGAUUUUGUUUAACAACUUCCAGAAGCGAUAAGGAUGUACGGUUGUUGGUAGAAUUUGUCUUCCGUCAAGAAAACUCAAGGAAGUGACGAGGAAACCAUCACAGAACGCAGCCAGGGCGCCGCCCGCAGCCACCCCCCACACUGAUUCCCUGCGGGUUCCCACGGCACAGCCCGGUGCUCAGAGUGCCCCCAGGAAGCAGACACAGCACAAAGCCCAACGGGAAGGGGCUGCCCACGCUGCAGUCUGCUGGGGCUCCCAGCAGCAGAGCUCUCCUCUUUGUGUCUCGUUUUGCUCAGCUUCUUCGUUCAUUCAAAGCUGCCUGCGGAGACGGAUGGAGAGGAAGCGUACCAGACAGGGCAGCUCUUACAGCUCCUGUUUUGUUCUCCAGUCACCUCUUUCCCCACAGCUUCAGCACAGAGUGUGCUUUAUGCAAUGUCUUCUUUCUUUCAGGCACGAAACAAAACUGUCCCUCAGUGCUGAGCGGCACCGUGCCGGCUCUCCAUCGAGCAGAUAGGAGUAAUUACAGGGAUUACAAAUGUG
rnacentral:lncRNA from 1 species